rnacentral:lncRNA from 1 species
UUGAAUGACAUUUAAGUCACAUUCGUCCCCCCCCUUGCCAUCCAUAGAUGCAUCCUUAGUCAUGAAGCAAAUGUUUGUUCAUCAUGGGUAAUAAAUUUGACUUCUAGAAUCUACCCAUUCAUCCCUUCAAUUUGGAUGGUGCUUUUAAGGCUCCUUUGUUUCCCACGAAAAAGGCUCCUAGGUGACCUCAAACGGUAGCUCCUUUAUGGCCAUACCACGCAUGCUGGACAACUCCUUUGCUGUACAAUAAAUUCGGCCAGCAUGAUGUUUUUGUUGAACACGAAAAAAAAAAACUCAUCAGCUAGUUAAUGCCGUGCAUGCAUGGGAACAACUCAUUUAAUUCAUGUCUUUGCUUCCCUUUUAAAUGCCGUUCCAUGCAUGGGAACAUCUCC